GCUUUAUGUAAUUUCAAUUGUAAUAAUUUGUUAUUAAGAAGCUAUUGGUUUGUUGUAUUUUUUUUUGUAUAUUGAAAAAAAGAUUUCCGCAGCCUUUCUGGCUGAAUACCCUAAACUGGAGACCUUGGCUGGUGGAUGGAUUUUUUUACAAGGCAGCAGGAAAGCAGAUUUAGCAUUAUUUGGCACUGUAUGACACAUCUGUAAAAGGAAGUGGCCAGAGAAAACUUACUGUUGUCCCACCCGAGUCUGAAGGCUAUACUACAAAACUUCUAAAAACUGCAUCCAAUAAUGGAAGACACAUGAUUUUCAUCAUUCCAAUUCAAGAUGAAAUCAACACAGAGCCACUACUUGAUAAUGCCCCAGAGUUCAGCAAAAUGCCAAAACCUGUGGGGACAUUUUACCCUUACGAGUUCUUGCUCUGCAUAUAGAGACCUGUACCAAAGCUAUGGAAGACAGUGAAGAUGAGAACCAAGAGAUGGCCAGGAAGAUCAGGAAGUGUCUUUUGUUUACAACAUUCAUAACAACAAAUGCCAUCAACUGUGGAAGUUGCUCCAUUUGACAGAAGAACAGUGGAUGUUGCAAGAUUAGAAGCACUACCAGGCCCAUCCUCACAAACUACAUGUUUUCAAAAUCAGCCAGCAAGUUAUGCAGGAUCUUGAUACUGGCAACAAAACAGAGGGUUGGAAGAUCAUACCAGACUUGGCCAGGGCUGUUUGGAUAUACAGAGAGACAGUGCUUAGCAUUCACAGAUCAGGGAAACCACUGUAUUUGCAUAUUGACCUCAGAACCACCAUCUCAGAACAAGACAUUGAUUUUGUUACAUUUUACAAAGCAUCCAGUGUUGAGCGGGCAAAUCCUUUGCAAUGCAUACUUGAAGGUGAUUAUCAAUAAUUACAAGGUGAUCCUGCAGUCGGGGAGGGUGUGAACCGCUUCUUGGUAUCCAGUCAUACAAAGGCUGAAAGAUGGUUUCAACAUGAAUUUUGGAUCCGAGAAACAAAAUUUGUCUACACAGGAAAUGCUUGUGUAACAAGGCUGUUUGAUGGAGAACAAGACCACCUUGUGCCUUCCUCCUCUGCAUUUCUGGUUGAGCGUGACCUAUUUCUAAUGGCAGGCAGAAUGAUUGGCCAUUGCUUUUGCAUGGCGGUCCUCCGCUGACAGGGCUUAGUCCUGCUAUUAUUCACAUUUUUUGUGGAGGGACACCGGAAACUGCAAUCGCUGAGAUCAAUGACUGUCCAGGGAGAAUCUGAGGGAGAAAAAAAACAAACCUUGAAGGCAGCUCUGAACUCUCAGCUGAUGAAAAGGAGAAAGUUGACUUCCUGUGUCUUGCAUGGGAUCUCCCUUUGAUGACAAGUGACAAUCGAACAUGGCUUUUUGAAAGGCUUCUGCAUUAUGCAGUAAUGGGACGGGUCAUGAGGCAAAUAAAGCAAAUAAGAAAGACACUAUGCUGUGGACCCUGAUCAGUGAACGUCCGGAUGUGGCUCAAAUUAUUUUCCCACGCAAGUCAAUUGCUGUGUUGACCCCAGAGGUAAAUACAGAGCAUUCUGGACCGCAUCAGCUGGCCUACCAUGACUGACGAAGAAGCUCCCAGUUUUAGUCCGUGAGGCAGACACCCUGUCUACUUUUAAGGCUAGGCUUAAAACUUUCCUUUUUGAUAAAGCUUAUAGUUAGAGUGGCUUAGGUUAUCUUGAGCUAUCUCUGUA